rnacentral:piRNA from 1 species
UGGUUAGUUCAUAUUGUUGUUCU